rnacentral:lncRNA from 1 species
UGCUAUUUACAUCAACUAUCCUGAGAUAAAGAAUCCACAGGAUUUAAAUAUUAAAAUAUUCCUUUGUUCAUAACUACAUCGGAAUUUACAUCUAAAUAAUAGACAAGUUUAUCACAUAAGUAAACAAAUUCUAUCAUUGUCUGUCAAAGCGCUGAAUAGCCUUGCUACGCUCCUCUUCCAUGAUGCGAGACAUCGUCCUGCGAUCCAGCAUGUACGAUGGAAGUCCUUCG